GACGAACGCUGGCGGCGUGCCUAAUACAUGCAAGUUGAGCGAUGAAGAUUGGUGCUUGCACCAAUUUGAAGAGCAGCGAACGGGUGAGUAACGCGUGGGGAAUCUGCCUUUGAGCGGGGGACAACAUUUGGAAACGAAUGCUAAUACCGCAUAAUAACUUUAAACAUAAGUUUUAAGUUUGAAAGAUGCAAUUGCAUCACUCAAAGAUGAUCCCGCGUUGUAUUGGCUAGUUGGUGAGGUAAAGGCUCACCAAGGCGAUGAUACAUAGCCGACCUGAGAGGGUGAUCGGCCACAUUGGGACUGAGACACGGCCCAAACUCCUACGGGAGGCAGCAGUAGGGAAUCUUCGGCAAUGGACGAAAGUCUGACCGAGCAACGCCGCGUGAGUGAAGAAGGUUUUCGGAUCGUAAAACUCUGUUGGUAGGGAAGAACGUUGGUGAGAGUGGAAAGCUCAUCAAGUGACGGUAACUACCCAGAAAGGGACGGCUAACUACGUG
rnacentral:rRNA from 1 species